rnacentral:rRNA from 1 species
UACGAAGGGGGCUAGCGUUGUUCGGAAUUACUGGGCGUAAAGCGCACGUAGGCGGCUUUGUAAGUUAGAGGUGAAAGCCCGGGGCUCAACUCCGGAAUUGCCUUUAAGACUGCAUCGCUCGAAUUGUGGAGAGGUAAGUGGAAUUCCGAGUGUAGAGGUGAAAUUCGUAGAUAUUCGGAAGAACACCGGUGGCGAAGGCGGCUCACUGGCUCGUAACUGACGCUCAUGCACGACAGCGUGGGGAUCAAACAGG